rnacentral:lncRNA from 1 species
GAUUUUUAAAGUAGGAAUGCCAGUACGAGCUUUAUACAGCGAGGAUUGUAAUAUUAUGAAGGUGUUGUUCUGAAAGUAUUCAAAGACACCUGCCUCAUAAAAUAUUUAGGUUACAACAAUAAGGAAAUGGUCCCAAAAAAGAAUAUUUGGGAAUCCUAUGGUGAAAAAGCUAUUCAAAACAACUUGAGGAAGCAGCAGCUGAAAUUUUAGUGAGCAUGUUGUCUUUUUUGUUUUUUUUGCGUUUGAACUUGCAAACAAAAAAGGAGUCACCAACUUGCUUACACGUAACAUACAAGUAACUUACAAUGUAUAAUGUAAGCAGUGAGUUUUAUUUUCCAUUCUACUGUACAUUCAGCACUAUGCUAGCCCAGUACGGAGAAUAGUUUGCUGUUGAAGUCAUUAUCGGAAGCAGUUGAGUUGUUUAACCUUUGCUUCCAGAGUACCAAUCUUUCAUCAGACACUAACAGCCAAACUUCUUCUAAAAAUUGUCCAAUAAUCUUGUGCUGCGUUUGAAUUAUUAGCAUUUUUAUGUUCUCAUUAUUUUUUCUCCCCAUUCAUUUGAAAAAUAACUUACUUAUCAGUAACUCAGAGAGCGGGAGAAAAGAUCAAAGGUAAAGUUUGCCUGAUGAUCUGUGGGACUGUCAGUCUCAAUGGCGAUUGUGAGUCACAGAGGACUCUAGUGUGCUGAGUUAGCGGCAUGAAUAUGUACAACCUUUAACAUUAAUUUGUAGCAUUUUCUUUGAAUUUUACAUUAAAAAAUUAAGCUGGAAGUUGAUUUGUCAAAAAUAAAUACCCAUGGCAGUCAGAAAUGGGGAGUUGAAUCAAUAUUUCUCACUGCACAAUUUGGUUUUGAUUUUUCAGGUAACAAGUAAACUGACAGAAACUAGUGAAGAAGAGACUGAUGCUUCUAAUGAAUUUUGAUUCAAGCAAACCGUGUAUCAAUGAGUGCCUUACCAAGAAAGCAUCAUCAACAAAAUCAUGUAACUCACCUCCAUUCGUGCCACGGAACAUGCCCAUGAUCCCUCCACCAAUACCUCCUCACAUCAUGAAUCAAUUCCGCAGAGUGAAUCGGAACUUAUUUCUUCCAUGCUCAUGUCUUGGUAUAUGAGCGGUAUCACACAGGAUGUUAUGUCUGCCUUAAAAUGCAAUGUAUUACCAUCAAUUAGUAGAGGUGUGCAAUUAAGGAUUUUUUAAUUUGAUUACAAUUCGAUCACAAUUAAUGAAAUUAAUCGUGAUUACGAUCAUAAUUGCAAUUAAAAUUGGGAAAAAAGCAAAUAAUCAUCAAAUUUUUGUCAUCUUCAUUUUUUUUACUUUUGUGGCCAAAAACAAAGUUAAAGCGCCUAUGAAUUCUUGAAGAAAUUUUCAUAAAACUUGGAUCACUGAUACUUUUCCUGCAAUAUUUUUUUUCUUGAGGUUGACUCAUUGUUUUUUCUCUACAAUAUUCUGUGUGCCCAAAAUAAAUUAGAAUCUUUCCAGCUUCUUGGCUCAGAGAGAAGAGACAGCACAAGGCAGAAGUUAACGAUAAAAAACUCAUAAAAUUCGCGCCAGGGUAUGUCCGCACACCCGCUGACAGCUUAAUUUUUUUCAUUAUUUUUUUUAUUUUAAUGUACAGUUGAUGUACUGCCAAGGUGUUUAGGUGGUUAAAAAUUUAGAAAUCGGGAAACAGUUUUUUGUAACUGAAAUUUAGUUUUUAUCAAAUCAUAUAGAUCUGUCAACUUUAAAAAUGAUCUUACUUAUCAUUUAAUAUUUAUCACAGGUUAUUGGCAAGGUUAUAAAUCAUCUCAAAAGCAAUUUCAAGGCAAACCGCAAGAGAAGAGGGUAGAUCUUGAACAUCUGAAGAGGCUCAUCGUUCAAAUCCAAAAGAAUUGUCUUAAGUUUCAAAUGUGCCAGGAGGCUCCUCUCCUUUUAAGAUUUACUUGUUCCUCUAAAUCUCUUUCGAAUUUUUCUUGUUUUCUCAAUUUUAAGUUGCAUUUUGUUGGUGUAACAGUUGCAUAUCAGUGAGUAGCUC